rnacentral:rRNA from 1 species
ACCCGCAGGUGUCCGAAUGGGGAAACCCGGCAGCAGGAGUGCUGUCAUCCGAAAGGAAGGGAACCCGGUGAACUGAAACAUCUAAGUAGCCGGAGGAAAAGGAAUCAACAGAGAUACCCUCAGUAGCGGCGAGCGAACGGGGAAGAGCCCAAACCGGAGCGGGAAACCGCUGUGGGGUUGCGGACUGCUAACAAAUGGUUGGACGAAGCAGAACCAGUUGGGAAACUGGGCCAGAGACGGUGAGAGCCCGGUAAGCGUAAGGAAGACCAUGGAGCAGGAUCCAGAGUACCACGGGGCACGAGGAACCUUGUGGGAAGCAGGGGGGACCACCCUCCAAGGCGAAACACUGAUAUGGACCGAUAGCGAAUAGUACCGUGAGGGAACGGUGAAAAGAACCCCGGGAGGGGAAUGAAAGAGAACCUGAAACCGUAUGUCUACAAACAGUCGGAGCGCUUUACAUGCGCGACGGCGUGCCUAUUGAAGAAUGAACCGGCGAGUUACUGUUGCCAGCGAGGUUAAGCGGGAAACGCGGAGCCGAAGCGAAAGCGAGUCUGAACAGGGCGAUAAGUUGGUAGCAGUAGACCCGAAACCACAGUGAUCUACCCAUGUCCAGGUUGAAGCACAGGUAAAAAUGUGUGGAGGACCGAACCAGUGAGCGUUGAAAAGCUUUUGGAUGAGAUGUGGGUAGGGGUGAAAUGCCAAUCGAACGUGGAGAUAGCUGGUUCUCCCCGAAAUAGCUUUAGGGCUAGCCUCAUGGUAAGAGUACAGGCGGUAGAGCACUGAACGAGGUAGGGGCCUGUCCGGCUACCGAACUUAAUCAAACUGCGAAUGGCUGUACUUAUACAUGGGAGUCAGACUGCGAGUAAUAAGGCCCGUAGUCAAGAGGGAAACAGCCCAGACCAACAGCUAAGGUCCCCAAUGCCGUACUAAGUGGCGAAGGAUGUGGAAUUUCGAAAACAACCAGGAUGUUGGCUUAGAAGCAGCCACCAUUAAAAGAGUGCGUAAUAGCUCACUGGUCGAGAGACUCUGCGCCGAAGAUGACCGGGGCUAAAGUACGGAACCGAAGCUUUGGCAAGUAUCGUAAGAUACUUGGGUAGGGGAGCGUUCCUGCAUGGGAGAAGCCUGACCGGAAGGACAGGUGGACAAGCAGGAAGAGAGAAUGCCGGUAUGAGUAGCGAAAAGAAAGGUGAGAAUCCUUUCCACCGAAAGCCUAAGGGUUCCUGGGCAACGAUCGUCGACCCAGGGUAAGUCGGGACCUAAUCCGAGGCGGAGACGCGUAGGAGAUGGACAACAGGUUGAAAAUCCUGUACCGCAGGAGUCUGUUUGAGCGAAGGAGUGACACAGAAAGGAAUGCGCGCGUGCGAUUGGAAGAGCACGUCCAAGCUGGUAGGUUGUGUGGCAGGCAAAUCCGCCAUACUAAAAGCCGAGAAGUGAUGGGGAGCCAUUGGAGACAAUGGCGAAGGGGCAGGAACUAGGCUGUCGAGAAAAGCUUCUAGUGAGGACUCAGGCGCCCGUACCGAAACCGACACAGGUAGGCAGGAAGAGAAUUCUAAGGUGCGCGGGAAAACCCUCGUUAAGGAACUCGGCAAAAUGUAUCCGUAACUUCGGGAAAAGGAUAGCCUAAAGUAUGUGAGCUGCAGAAACGCAGGGAGCAGGAAUAGGCGGCAGAAGAGAGGCCCAAGCGACUGUUUACCACAAACACAGGCGUCUGCUAAAGCGAAAGCUGACGUAUAGAUGCUGACACCUGCCCGGUGCUGGAAGGUUAAGAGGACGUGUUAGCCGUAAGGCGAAGCAGAGAAUUGAAGCCCCAGUAAACGGCGGCCGUAACUAUAACGGUCCUAAGGUAGCGAAAUUCCUUGUCGGGUAAGUUCCGACCCGCACGAAAGG